rnacentral:rRNA from 1 species
CCUACGGGGGGCUGCAGUGGGGAAUAUUGGACAAUGGGGGGAACCCUGAUCCAGCCAUGCCGCGUGUGUGAAGAAGGCCCUCGGGUUGUAAAGCACUUUCAGUGAGGAAGAACGCCUGGUGGUUAAUACCCAUCAGGAAAGACAUCACUCACAGAAGAAGCACCGGCUAACUCCGUGCCAGCAGCCGCGGUAAUACGGAGGGUGCGAGCGUUAAUCGGAAUUACUGGGCGUAAAGCGCGCGUAGGUGGCUUGAUAAGCCGGUUGUGAAAGCCCCGGGCGCAAACUGGGAACGGCAUCCGGAACUGGCAAGCUAGAGUGCAGGAGAGGAAGGUAGAAUUCCCGGUGUAGCGGUGAAAUGCGUAGAGAUCGGGAGGAAUACCAGUGGCGAAGGCGGCCUUCUGGACUGACACUGACACUGAGGUGCGAAAGCGUGGGUAGCAAACAGGAUUAGAUACCCGAGUAGUC